UCUUUGUUAUGGUGUUCCAAGCA
rnacentral:siRNA from 1 species